GAUGAACGCUGGCGGCGUGCCUAAUACAUGCAAGUCGAGCGAACAGACGAGGAGCUUACUCCUCUGACGUUAGCGGCGGACGGGUGAGUAACACGUGGAUAACCUACCUAUAAGACUGGGAUAACUUCGGGAAACCGGAGCUAAUACCGGAUAACAUGUUGAACCGCAUGGUUCAACAGUGAAAGACGGUCUUGCUGUCACUUAUAGAUGGAUCCGCGUCGCAUUAGCUAGUUGGUAAGGUAACGGCUUACCAAGGCAACGAUGCGUAGCCGACCUGAGAGGGUGAUCGGCCACACUGGAACUGAGACACGGUCCAGACUCCUACGGGAGGCAGCAGUAGGGAAUCUUCCGCAAUGGGCGAAAGCCUGACGGAGCAACGCCGCGUGAGUGAAGAAGGUCUUCGGAUCGUAAAACUCUGUUAUUAGGGAAGAACAAAUGUGUAAGUAACUAUGCACGUCUUGACGGUACCUAAUCAGAAAGCCACGGCUAACCACGUGCCAGCAGCCGCGGUAAUACGUAGGUGGCAAGCGUUAUCCGGAAUUAUUGGGCGUAAAGCGCGCGUAGGCGGUUUUUUAAGUCUGAUGUGAAAGCCCACGGCUCAACCGUGGAGGGUCAUUGGAAACUGGAAAACUUGAGUGCAGAAGAGGAAAGUGGAAUUCCAUGUGUAGCGGUGAAAUGCGCAGAGAUAUGGAGGAACACCAGUGGCGAAGGCGACUUUCUGGUCUGUAACUGACGCUGAUGUGCGAAAGCGUGGGGAUCAAACAGGAUUAGAUACCCUGGUAGUCCACGCCGUAAACGAUGAGUGCUAAGUGUUAGGGGGUUUCCGCCCCUUAGUGCUGCAGCUAACGCAUUAAGCACUCCGCCUGGGGAGUACGACCGCAAGGUUGAAACUCAAAGGAAUUGACGGGGACCCGCACAAGCGGUGGAGCAUGUGGUUUAAUUCGAAGCAACGCGAAGAACCUUACCAAAUCUUGACAUCCUCUGACCCCUCUAGAGAUAGAGUUUUCCCCUUCGGGGGACAGAGUGACAGGUGGUGCAUGGUUGUCGUCAGCUCGUGUCGUGAGAUGUUGGGUUAAGUCCCGCAACGAGCGCAACCCUUAAGCUUAGUUGCCAUCAUUAAGUUGGGCACUCUAAGUUGACUGCCGGUGACAAACCGGAGGAAGGUGGGGAUGACGUCAAAUCAUCAUGCCCCUUAUGAUUUGGGCUACACACGUGCUACAAUGGACAAUACAAAGGGUAGCGAAACCGCGAGGUCAAGCAAAUCCCAUAAAGUUGUUCUCAGUUCGGAUUGUAGUCUGCAACUCGACUACAUGAAGCUGGAAUCGCUAGUAAUCGUAGAUCAGCAUGCUACGGUGAAUACGUUCCCGGGUCU
rnacentral:rRNA from 1 species